rnacentral:lncRNA from 1 species
UGGAGGACAACAUGUCUUAUUCAUCUGGUAUGGUCACCAGUGGUCCCGUCUUGGUAAAACAAAAUGGAGGACAACAUGUCUUGGUCACCAGUGGUCCUGUAUUGGUAAAACAAAAUGGAGGACAACAUGUCUUGGUCACCAGUGGUCCUGUCUUGGUAAAACAAAAUGGAGGACAACAUGUCUUACAUUCAUCUGGUAUGGUCACCACUGGUCCUGUAUUGGUAAAACAAAAUGGAGGACAACAUGUCUUGGUCACCACUGGUCCUGUAUUGGUAAAACAAAAUAGAGGACAACAUGUCUUACAUUCAUCAGGUAUGGUCACCACUGGUCCUGUCUUGGUAAAACAAAAUGGAGGACAAAAAAAAGAACAGAGAAAUGUAAAGAUGAGCACCUCCAUUUUUGCAUCCCAAAUGGCACCCUAUCCCCUAUAUAGUGCACUACUUUAGACCAGAGCUCUAUGGCACCCUAUUCCAUAUAUAGUGCACUACUUUAGACCAGAGCCCUAUGGCACCCUAUUCCCUACAUAGUGCACUACUUUAUACCAGAGCCCUAUGGCACCCUAUUCCCUAUAUAGUGCACUACUUUUAAACAUAACCCAUAGGGCUGUACAUAGGAUGCCAUUUGUUGACCUCAGCACAUGACUUCAUUCCCCAAUGUGAAGAGUUAAAACCCUACAGGAGGGUAGCUCUCCAGGAACAGGGUUGGAGUUAAAACCUACAGGAAGGUAGCUCUCCAGAAACAGGGUUGGAGUUAAAACCCUACAGGAAGGAAGCGCUUCCCCCAGGAACAGGGUUGGAGUUAAAAAACCCUACAGGAGGGUAGCUCUCCAGGAACAGGGUUGGAGUUAAAACCAACAGAGGUAGCUCUCAGGAACAGGGUGAGUUAAAACCCAACAGGAGGGUAGCUCUCCAGGAACAGGGUUGGAGUUAAAACCCACAGGAGGGUAGCUCUCCAGGAACAGGGUUUGAGUUAAAACCUACAGGAGGGUAGCUCUCCAGAACAGGGUUGGAGAGCCAUUGAAAAUGAGUCUGUUUACAAUCAUGCCACCU